rnacentral:rRNA from 1 species
GACAGAGGAGCCAAGCGUUGUCCGGAUUGACUGGGCGUAAAGCGCACGCAGGCGGCCGUGCACGUGGGGUGUGAAAGCUGGCGGCUUAACUGCCAGACGCCACCUCAUACGGCACGGCUCGAGCCCGUGAGAGGUCCACGGAAUUGCCGGUGUAGUGGUGAAAUGCGUAGAGAUCGGCAGGAACACCCAGGGGGAAACCAGUGGACUGGCACGGUGCUGACGCUCAGGUGCGAAAACGUGGGGAGCGAACCGG